GAUGAACGCUGGCGGCGUGCCUAAUACAUGCAAGUCGAGCGAAUGGAUUAAGAGCUUGCUCUUAUGAAGUUAGCGGCGGACGGGUGAGUAACACGUGGGUAACCUGCCCAUAAGACUGGGAUAACUCCGGGAAACCGGGGCUAAUACCGGGUAACAUUUUGAACCGCAUGGUUCGAAAUUGAAAGGCGGCUUCGGCUGUCACUUAUGGAUGGACCCGCGUCGCAUUAGCUAGUUGGUGAGGUAACGGCUCACCAAGGCAACGAUGCGUAGCCGACCUGAGAGGGUGAUCGGCCACACUGGGACUGAGACACGGCCCAGACUCCUACGGGAGGCAGCAGUAGGGAAUCUUCCGCAAUGGACGAAAGUCUGACGGAGCAACGCCGCGUGAGUGAUGAAGGCUUUCGGGUCGUAAAACUCUGUUGUUAGGGAAGAACAAGUGCUAGUUGAAUAAGCUGGCACCUUGACGGUACCUAACCAGAAAGCCACGGCUAACUCUGUGCCAGCCGCCGCCGUAA
rnacentral:rRNA from 1 species